ACAAAGGAUGCUCGCUGUCUGAAACUCUAAAACGCGUCUUGGAGAGUUGAUUCGAAAGCAUUUUGGGUACCCAGGUCACCUGCCCCCCCCGCCCCGGCGGCAGACGCCGCGGUUCCCCGCCGUGGCUCUGCCCGGUCCCCGCGCGGUGGCGCCGGGCUCCGCCGGGGCUGCGGGGCCAGUCGCGGAACAGGUCACCGCCCCGCGCACGGGGACGGGUCCCGUGACUACAUCAUGGCUACGGGGACAACAGAGGUCACACAGUCACAUGAAACAGGAGAGACAGUUGAAGAAUGCACAGGAAAGAAAAAAUCCAAAUUUCAGACUUUCAAGAACUUCUUUGCCAAGAAGAAAAGGAAAGAGCCUUCACCUCCCAGGGGAGAGAGUAAUUUAAAACCUAGUCAGUCCAGCAGCGAUGUCAGCAUCUCUGUGCUCGAUGCUACUGCACUUCAUUCACCGAAGGAGGCUGGGCCCAAAGGAAGCAUGGGGAACAAAGCCUUGUCCCACGACAGUGUCUUCAUUUUUGAGUCUACAUUGGGAAGUGUGGCAAGUGACAUGUUGUCUCAGGAAAACAUACCCGGAAGAGUGAAAACUUUGCAGCUUCAGCUGCAGCAGAACAUCAGACUUGGGUCGCCUCCUCUUGUUAUAACUGGAAAGAAACUGGAAGAUGCAGGUGCCGUUUCUGAAGAUGAUGGUUUACCUAGAAGCCCUCCUGAAAUUUCAACCCUUCAUGAAGUUCUGACAGAUUCACCGAGCAAGUCUUCCAACCCUGUUCAGCGUCAUAGCUCUUUGAGUUUAGGCGGGACAGACAGCGAAGAUGAACAGACACCUUCUGGAGCUUCCUCCAGGCCCAUCAGUCCUUCAUCCCCUGCCACUCUGGGAGCUCCCGGCGCACGAGGCAGCAGCUCCCUUCCUGUUGACUUCACCAUCCCUGCCAGCCCCCUCGGCUGCCUGGACACCUCAGCAGCCAGGCACAGGAUUGCCAUAAAGCCCAGGAAGCAGAAAGGUUUUACCAACAAGAACCAGCAACCCUCUCAGGUGGAACAGCUGGAAAAUGAAGCAUCUCUUCCGGCAACUCCAGAAAAGAAGGGAGAUUCAACAGAAUUGCCUGGGAGUGGCCAGCAUAAAGGUGAUUGGGAAGGGUUAUCAGCACAGGUGGGAUAUGGUACAAAGCGAGGCCAUUCUAAGGAGAUGCCAGGUGUAAUAAGUCCCACUGAUACUUCCUGUGACUCUUGUGCUUCCACACCUGUGGCAGAAGACUCUUGUGCUUUUCUGCAAGAGGAUGCAUGCCUUCCAGACAUGGAUCAUCACCAUAAAGCAGCUGCACCCCUUCUGAGACCUGAGCCUCCUCCAGUGAACCUGGAGGAACACCGUGGUGCAAAAGCAUCGUACUGUUCAGAGGAAUCUGCUGAUGAAUUGAAAUUACAUCAGCAAAAUACCAGUUCUGGAGUAUCUGCACUUCCAAGACUGCAACAAAUUGAAGGAGGAGCUGUUGUGUUUCCAGACAUACUAGCAGCUGAUUUCUUUAGCAAUGAUGUGAAAACAGAGGGCAUAGAUAUAUUGGCAGAUCUUGCACAAAGGUCCUCAGUAAAUUCUGUGGACGCAAAUGUCAAAGAUCGGGAAAAGGGGGAUCCACUGUUUACUGGUAAAGUAGAAGACUGCUUAGGUAAUACUGAGAAUCAUUCCUGUCUCACUGUCUCAGACACUGCACCAAGCACUUCACAGAUUGUGCUAACCGGUUCAGAGUUGUCUUCUGACACCAAGACAGUGGUUGUUUUGAAGCCUGAAAACAGUUCAGUAACAAGAAACGACAAAGACACUGGUGAAAUAAUUGAAUUUCAGUCAUCAAAAGUCAGUGCAGAAAAGAAAACAGACACUGCUGCAUCUGUCUCAGAAGCAGAUUGCAUGCUACCUCCAGGUAAAUUGGAAGUAUGUUGUAAGGCAGAAAGGGGUUCUGUUUUGAAGGGUAACCAAGACAGUCAACGAGCCAACACAUCACACGUUUCUGAAAAGCUUUCCAUUGGAUGUCUUGCCUCUUCAAGUCUGGCUGGCUUGAAGAGUAAUAUCUCUUCCAAUGAUGACCAUAAGGAGUACCAGAUAAGCAGUGCAGCUCCUCACAGAAAAACUGUGGAAGACGGUCAAUCUUUGGAUGAAAAUGUAAAAAAUCCACUGACAACUGUUUCUGCUAAACCAGUCAGAUUUACCAUUGCACCAGCGUGGCAAAGAUCUCUCUCAGGGGGUUCAAAGGAAGAUUCCUAUACCAGAAGUUCUCCAACAUCCCCCAUAAGACCGGAAUUGUUUGAAGGAAUGACAAAAGAACACACACGUUUUGAUGCAGUCAUCCAGGAAUCAGCAAAAAUCAACUCAGAUAGAUCCUGUCGAGAUUGUAAGGACAGUGUUUUGCAUUUGAAUUCUCCUAUGGAGUGGAUUGACCAUGAAGCACAAAAUGUUGAAAACCCGUUUGGGGUCAGGCUAAGGAGAACAUCAUCUUUACUAAAAUACCAAAAUGAAAGCCGUGCUGAGUCUCCGAAGCUGAUCCCCUCAACAGUUCCCACUGCUGCUUCUGCGCCAGUCAGGGAGGAUCAGAAAUCAGUGGGUACCGGGAAGCCACCUCCGGGCCUUCCUGUCACCACAAAAUCAUGUGUUAAAAAUACGGAUCUUCCAGAAGACAAAAAUCCUCCCAAAAACAGAUCAGAAGAAUUGACAAAGAAGCAAAAUGGUCAUAAGCCUUCAGAAAAAGUCUCCUCUCCACAUUUGGGAACUGCUUCUUCUGAACCAGCUUGGGUCUCCAUGGCAAAACUAAAACAGAAGGGUUUCCAGGACCACCCUCUUGCCAAAGAAUAUAAAGCUGAAGACAAAACUUUGACCAAAGUGGAUCAAGAGGAGCAAGGGAUCUGUGCUAGUGAGAACAUACUGAAGAAGAAUAUGCCUUCCAGCUUGAGCUCUCAGGACAAGAAAACACAAAUGAAGAACAGUGUUUCUGCUGCAGCAGGUAAAGUUGGACCUAUUGCUCAGGAAGCAUCUGUGAUUCCUGCUGUUGAAAAGGAAGCAAGACACUCCUCUAACCUCCCAAUGACACCAUGCAGCCCUGCUGAACCACCAUGGCUGUCCCUGGCCAAGAAGAAAGCCAAAGCAUGGAGUGAAAUGCCCCAGAUCGUACAAUAGUGAAUGACUCCAGCAUCCGUCUUUGUAUUGCCAAUAACUGCGUUAACUCCAUUUAAUCCCUUCUUUACUGUGACCGUUUUGCUGAGAAAUAAUAACAGCCUUAAAACUUUUGAUCAGACUGUUGUAUGUAACUACACAAUGAAGAAAUGCCUUUGCAGGCUUAAUUUGAAGUAUUAAGAAGCUGAAUGUUUCCUACUACCAAAUACUAGGAAAACUUGAUCAAUUUGUUACAUCCUUACACAUCUGACGGUGAUGUUCCAAGAAGAUGUGCUUCAGGCUUUUGAAACAUUUCCUUUGCAAAAUAUGUUUUUAUAGUUUCUGCAGACCAUACGGUAUUUUGUGCAGUGUGGCUUUGGCUAAGAACUUAAUGUAUGCUAUAAAAUAGACAUAAUGCUGGGUACUGACACCAUGACUCUGACUUGUGGGCAUUGAAGUUGUCAUACUUCUUUCUCUAAUGCUCUGGGAUGGGUAGUCUGCUUCUCGUUCUUAUUGGAUGUAUUUUGUGAUAGCUGUAAGAUCUAAACAGAAUUGUAAGUUGGAGUAAUUUGUGCUUUUGUUGGUUUGAAGUCACAAUGCUUUGGGUCUCGUGCUUUGCUCAUUGAUACCUGCUGGAAUGGCCCAGAGCCACACAUCUGUUCCCUCCUAUGUGCUCAAAACCCACCACACUCGAGCAUGUGCUUUGCUUUCAGUUACACCUUUGGAAAUGUAGGAUAUUUUGGGCAUUCUACCAAAAAAAAAAAAAAGCCCAUUAUUUUAUUAUGGCAAGUAGCGAUUUAUUUUUUCAUGGAAUCAUAGAAUGGUUUGGGUUGGAAGGGACCUCUAAGCCCAUCCAGUUUCAAUCUCCCUACCAUGGGUUGGGACACCUUCUACUAGGUCAGGUUGCUCAAAGCCCCAUCCAACCUGGCCUUGGACACCUCCGGGGGUGGGGCAUCCAUGACUUGUCUGGGCAGCCUGGGACAGGGCCUCACCACUCUCACAGGAAAAUAUUUCUUCCCAAUAUCUAAUCUCAUUUGAUCUAGGUAAUUUUUGUGAGAUUGCUUGGCCAAUUGUCUCUCUUAAAGAGUGUGUUGGGGAUGGGGACUACUUGCUGCCUAGAAGCAAUGUUUUCAACAAAUGCCACUGUACUCUUCAUGUUCAUGUGGAUGUAUAUUUAGUCAGUUGUGUUUGAUGUUGGUGGUCAAAGGGGCACCUGCUUUCCUCCUUGCCUCAUCAGUCUUUAGCCAGUAACUCAACAUCAGUCUAAGAAUGUGCAGCUGGGAAAGGGUUACUCACUCAGGGCCUGGACUUGCAGUCACUUAAGUUGAUGAAAGUUUUGCUAUUGGCUUUGAAAGAAGCAGACACUUGAAAAAGAAGUGGCUCGAGUGGCAGUGGCACUUACCAGUCUUUUUCAGUUUUUUUCAGCAUUGCACAUUUGUGUAGUUUUUGUUUACAGUCAGUGCAAUAUUUGAAGCCUGACUUGGCUGAUGGACAGCUUUGAGCUGGAAAGUCAGUAGGUAUUUUUAAGGAAAAUAUUAUCUAUUGACAGUAUUAACUGCAAAACAAAAAAUCUGGUUUCAGAUCAGCUCAAGCAAGACUUUAAUCUUCCAGUCUUGGCCUGAAUUGAAUAUGUAGCUCUUGCAGUUUGAGAACAGUAUUAGUUAGGAGCUAGACUGUGAUUUUUUGUUUUAUAUAGGUGAAAACUUACCCAGGUAGGCUCACUGAAGCUAUGGAUACUGUUUAUUUUUUUACUGACACCAGGAAGACUAAGAGUUUCACAUUGGCUUGGUAAUCCAUGCCUAUUUUACUGCUUGUUUUUCUCUAUUUUAGGAAUCAUAUCUUCUCUUACAAAGAACUGUAACAUUUGUAUUUCUCUGAAACUUUUGAGUGUAAUGGAAAUGAACAUACUCAGCUUUGAUUCCUGAAGUUUUGUACAGCUGCCAUCUCAUCACAAGCUUACUGACCCAGUGUAAAAUACGUGCAUUUCUAUAUUCAGCAAACACUCAUCUUUUUAUUAAUGUGGAUUGUGAUCCUUCACCCAAAGUGCUGCAAAUGAUACUCUAAUCUCUCUUUCCCUGUGUCUGCUUUUGAUCUUAAUAUUGUUUCUGUCUUUUAUGUUUGAUAUGUAUAUAUGUAUUUGUAAUCCUUGUCUUGAAGGAACACCUUUUGUAUUCCGUUCCCAUAUUUUGUUUAUGAUUAAAUGCUGUUGCCAGAGAUCAUGAUAUAAUUUCUGGGAAAAGAAGAGUGAUAAUGGCCCUCAUUCAUUAAAGAAAAAGUACGAAGAGGUCUUUGGUCAAUAUAGACUCUACAUAUGGACAUACUGCAUAGAUCUUGUUUUGAGAUGAUUUUGUGUGGUUUGGGACUGGUCAUCACAGCUGGUCAGACUACUCUACCUAUCUAGAACUUUAAAAUGUCACCAGAGAGCUGAUUGCUCUCCUUUUGUUUUGGAGUUAUUUCUGCUUCAGUACAGGGUUGGCUUUUGCAGGCUGGCACUUGCGGUUGCAGGAAGCCUCGUAAAUACUCGUUUCAGUGCUUUGGUGUUGCUGACAUUUUUUUUGACAUGUUUUGGUGUUGCUGUAGGACAUUUUGGGGUUGCUUUGAAAAAGAAGAAAAACACAUGAGAAUCAUGUGAUGUUACAUUUGAAAUGUAAUUGCCUUCUGGAUUUCUGAGAGUAAUGUUUUCAAGUUUCUGUCCGCAACCAAGAGAACAAAAAGCAUAGGGGAAUAAUCGAACCUGGGUCUCGUGUUUUCACAAGAGUUUAGAAGAUGGGAUUUUAAGAUAAACGUUGAAGGAUCAGUGUUUAUUGGUUCAUUAUAUAGAAGUUCCUCUGUUAGUAUGGCUUUGAUUUUCUGUCAUCCUAGACUAGGUUGUAGGUGUUUAAUCGAUGCAAGUAACUCAUACAAUGAGCUCCUUUGGGGUGCUUAUUUCAAGACACAGUCACUAUCUUUGACAAUAAGCUAUCUCCAAGUGCAGAGGUCAUUGCAGAAUGUGGCUGUGAGAUGUGCAGACUCCGAAUCUUCAUCAGGGGCUGUAGGAAGCUGUUCCUGGAAUUCCAGCUCACAGGACAGGCAGUGUCCUCUGGAGCGGGGCUGCCGUGUGGCAGCAGAGGGUGCUGGUGCCAUCCCGAGGAAAGGCAGAGGUAUUUGGGGAUGCAUUCCUUGUGUGCGGUGCUGGAGCUCCCAUCGCCACAGAGAAUGAUGCUUUAUUCCAUUAAAACGGAGAGGUCUGAAAGAGAGGUGUAUUUCCAUUUGUGAUUUCAUGGAGGUUUUGGAGCUAUAAUGUAUGGGAAACAACUUUACCCUGUUGUUACGAGAAGCACCUGAGAAUUGGUGAUACCAGCAGGGAAAGAUAGGUUACACAGUGCAUUCAGUCCUGCAGUGGGACCAUGCCGGAAGGUUCAUGAAUGUGUCCAGAAAGAGCAUUGCAGUUUGGCAGUUUAACUCUGCUGCUGGCUCGAGGCUGCUCUUCAUCCUAGCCAGAUGUGGCAUCUGAUGAUGAGAGAGACAAAUAGCAACUUGAUGUGUACCUACCUGUAGAUUCCUUUUGCUCUGACAGUGAGCUGUGGAGACUCAGGCUAAAAGACCAUCUUUCAUGAUAUCAUCUAGGAAUCUACUUGUAUUAUAAUUAGGUGGGUUUGUGGACAAGAGGGAAUGAGUCAGUUUAAAUGAGAGGAAAAGACUCCAAAUUUCCAAAGCUAUGCACUUCUGCUCUAGCACAACACUGACAACACUUUUACUGUGAGAAGCUUGUGUACCUGUUUCUUUAAAUAACCCAAAGAAUAAAUUGAGAUAUAACUAAGGAGCUGAUACUUGGUUCAACUAUUGUACUUAGAAGGAAAGUCUUAGAAUAGUGAGGAAAGACUAACCAUGCUGAAACACUGACCACCAGCCCUUUUCAUGUGAGAUAAUUUGGAUAGAGAUGGCCUCUGUAACUAGUACUACAUUAUAUCAUUUGAAGUGCUGUAAUAUAAAAUAUUCAAUGGAGUUUGUUUGGAAGCAUUGCAGUAUUCUCAGCUUAGAACAGCUGUAAUUCCUGAGUUCAUGCCACCUGCUCUGUUAAGUGCUUUUGAGAUCAAUACAGGAAAGAUAUCCUGUGAAGAUGUUUUGUCCUUUAGAACUGCUACUGGAAGGUGACACAUCCAAAAGGUACUGGUAAUGAGGGAUGCAAUUAGCAAACUAAUAAAUAAGGCAUACAUCUCUUUUUGUCUUUUCCUCUAUUUGUGUGUUAGCCUACCUAAAUUUAUGUUAAGGAUUUAUAAUCUAGUUAUAAGAUUCUACAAACUUGUCUCGUCAGCUGUCACCAAUGUGUUAGUAAUGGUGAUGUGGAACCUCUCUUGUUUAGGGAAUCUGAACAUCUGUUUAGGAUUCUGACCUUGAUUCCUUGCUUGGUGUAAUUGUGCAUUCUGUCUUCUACGUUGUCAGGAGGGAUUGCACCCAAAGCAUCAAUACUCACUACAGGCUGUUAUUGUUACGGUCUGGGUUAGUUCUUGGUGCAGAGGUUGACUGAAACCUCUGUUUUCCAUAGAAAAUGUUUUCAAAUGUCUUUCAUUGAAAUAGGCAGGUGAAAUAAAUUGUAAAUUCUGAACUUGGAACACAAACCCAUGCUUCUGCCCAGAACAGAAAGGUUGCUCAGGUAUAUCCAGCUGAAUGGACAAAGCGGCAUGGCUGGAUGAAGGUGAAGGACUAAGGAAAAAUAACAGUUCAAGAUGAGAAAUAGAAGUCUUAGAGUGGGAGGCUACAAUUCAAAAUACUCUUCCAUGGUGGGAUAAAUUUAAGCCCAAGGAAAGGUACUGAAAGAGGCCUUUAGAUAGCAAAGCUCUUCAUGCAUCGCUUCUCUUUGCACAUAAGGAAACAGGACUUUGUCUGUUUUUGUAAAUGAACAGAAAAACAUCAGAGAUGCCUCCUGCCAUCUGCAGCUUUUUAUUUAUUUCAUCUGAUGUAGUCCAUGCAUUUCCACUUAACUUGGUGCAGGAAAGGUGAUGCUUUGUUACCAGACCUCAUACCUUAUUCUGAACCAUGUUAGGCAGGUGAGCACUGCACUGCAAAUCAGAGCAUGUUGUGACCCGCUGGUCAGGUCUGCAGCAGUGCAGCUCUUUGAGUGGAAGUGCUCUGUGAUCUGUCUGUUAAAAUGCAGCUUUUCAGAAGUGAGCUAAGCCAAAAUUUAGCAGCUUCCCCAGACCUGAGGGUCACAUUAUUGACUAUGGAAAAUGGGAGAUGCUAUUAUUCUUACGAUGGUAGGAGAGAUUUAAAACCAAGCUAUAUGGCACAUUAUUGACUAUGGAAAAUGGGAGAUGCUAUUAUUCUUACUGUGGUAGGAGAGAUUUAAAACCAAGCUAUAUUAAUAGCCGUUUGGUUUUUAGAGGCAGUUAGAAAAAAAUCUAUCUGAACGAGAUUAUGAAGUGUCAAUUCUUAGACUGAUCUAUAAACCAAGUUAGUAACUAAACAAGAAAGAGGUAUGAAAAUGGCUGAGGAGCGUUUAAUUGUUAUAAUUUUGUAUGAUGUAGAAAUGAAUAGGCAGCAAGGAGGGACUGAUUGACAAAAGGAGCCUAAAUGGAAAAGGUGGUUUGGUAUUUGAAACUCCUGUUCCAGCCUUUCUUUGAUUUGCCUUAGAAUAGUCCUGUAAAAAAACCCCAUAGCUCUAAGUAUUCUUACAUUUUGUUUGUGGAAUCAAACCCACUUUUUAGUUACCUUGUUUUGUAGUCAUCCGUAUUUUACAGCAAUCUAGUGAAAAGCUGACUGGUCCAAGAUCACAUACCUGUCUAUGCUGGCAAUGCUGCUUUGUUCCAAGUUUACUGUAACCUAUUUUGUUAAGCUAAUGCUUCAUUACAUUUUCCCUAUUAAACCGUUGCAGCUGCAAAUUAAUUUUGGGUUGCAGGUGUUUUUCCAACACGGAAGUGUGAGGUUAACUGCUUCAAAAUAAGAAGCUUUCCACAUUGCUCAGGGCUAUCUUUCUGUGGCAUUGAGAGAACUUUUUCCAAAUUACACAGUAAGUUCAUUGAAGCAACUGCAGCAAGGUAUGGGAGAGGGUCAAAGUCCUGGGGCUGUGUUGUGUUUCCAUAGAGUUUAAAUUGCAUGCAGGAGCCCUCCCUAAUGGUGUCAUCAGCACCGUUGGGAGCUAACAAAGCAGGAGGAGAUGUUGCUGGCUGGCUCCUAGCGAGUGCGUCAUUCCUGCUGUGCUAAAUACCCACGUCACCAGUGACGUGGGCAAAUGGAGUGAAGCGACAGUCAUUGAGAACCAGUGGAGGGGUGAUGUGCCCCCAGAGGUGCAGCAUUUCACCAGAUGUGCACGUGGGAUGAAAUAACUUCGCUGCACUUGGUGAGCUGUGGAAGUAUGUUUUAUUCAUAUUGGAAUAAAUAAACAGCUAGAUGGACAAAUUAGGAUGUAUCUCCAUUAAACUAGAGCUCUGUUUUGAACAUGAGGCAAUUACUCUGUUUGGAUCCUGAAUCAUACAUGCUUCAAAGAGGAGGAACAUACGUCUGUUUUAGUAGAGCAUUUCAAUGGUAAAGGGAGUUCUGCCCAGAGAUGAGUGACUUGAUCUGUACUUGCAUGAAUGCAAACUGGAAAGGAGCCUCAUUUUGGUUGGUUUGUUUGGGUUUUUUUUUCCAUUUUGACAAGAUAUUUUAUUGCAUAAUCAUUCUUACUGUUAUGAUCUCUUAUAAAGAUAACUGUCUCCUUACUUUACACUGUUUAUAAAAUAAGAGCUUUAUCUGUGAGAAGGACCACAUAUCAUGGUAGAAUAAUAGCUGGGAAUGUGUACAUUGCAUGUAAAAAGCUAGGAGAAUCAACAUCACUUUUCUUGCUAUUUAUUUAAUAGUUUCAGAGCAUUAUUUGCUACUAAAGCCCAAAGUCUGCAGAGUACUCUGGCAUGGAUCAGAUGGGCCAGAGCUUGGGCUGACUGUGUGUAGCCUGUUGAAAGGUGUAGCACAGGUCUAGUCUAGUUCUUGACUGGCCACAGUGGAAAUUGGAUUUGGCCCCUUUUAAGGGGUGUUUAAGCGAAAUGGAACAAAAUCUCUCAGGAAAGUGGAUUAUUGUUUUUGAUAGUCAAUCACCUCAUGCAAAUUCGAGCAAUGUAACUUGAGGGUUAAAAUGACAUGGGCUGUUGUGACAAAGCAAUGUGGAAUCACCCUUGGAUGGGGGAAAGUUGGGUGUUACCCCUGGCUCCUUGGAAUCCACGUCUGGUAACCUGGUCGGUGUGGCUCUGGGGCUGUGAUCAGUCUAACACUCUAGGGGAUGUGUUUGGCUUGGACUUACUGGAUGUGAAGGUCUUUGCUUGUUCCUAGGUAAUGCAACCCCAGACCUGAUGAUGUCAGUCAGAAGUUCUAAGCAAAUUCAUCUUCCCUAAAGGGAAGUUUGAUAAGGUGCUCCUGGGAGUCUUCUAAAUCCAAAUGAAGAGUAGCCGUUUCAUGCUUGCAUCCGUGCCAACAGGCACCCUGCUCUACAGUACUCUCUGCUUUACUUUCAGACGGAAGGUCCCUACCGUGACACAGCAAGAGAAGUGUUUGUACAGCUUCAGUUCAGGGACUCUCAUGAAUGAGCUGCUGCCAGUCGUUGUCCAGAUGUUAUCUGUGAUGUCUUUCGUAGUACAUUUAAUUAAUUGUGUUUCCUACAGCAGAGGUGACCUUAUGACUGUGGGACACAGGUUUGCCCCAGGAUGUUCAGUUCACAGGUGGCAACACUCAUUUGCAUCUUCACCAAAGUCACUGGAAUUGACUGGGAUCGGGUGGCAAUGUAAUUUGUUAAUGCUGGUUUAUAUCUUAUUUCAUCCUUUUUCUUAUGGAUUUCUCCUUUGAAAGCAGUGGCUUUAGUGAGAUGAUAUCCGUGUACUGCCAUGGCUAACUCAUGUCUAGAGCAUGCCGCUCCUCUAGAAAGACAGUUUGUAUUCCUGGAAAGCCAAUGGAAUAGCAGAGGGAGCUGGGAGGGAGCAGUGGGAUGCUUGGACUCCUCUGCGGAGACUUUAGGUGUGCCAGAGCUUGUUCCUCUCCCUGCUUCACCUUCUCUGCCCUGGCAAGCAGUUCUGACACCUGGCUUAGGUUGCCACAUCCAGUGCUGCGCUGGAGGCUGCUGUGGAUACCGGAGUCUCAGGAUCUGAGCCAGCCUCGAGCUCCGCUGCUGCAGGAGAGCGGCAGUGCCAGUGCUAACCAUGCGCUGCUCAUGUUCUCCCCAGCCAAGACCGGUGGCUCAGCUUCCUGGGGGCACUCGGCUGCCGUGUCGCGGGUGCAGAGCCUUGACGUUUAUUUACUCUCCCCUAGUGCUUCCCUUGCUGUGCUGAUGUAACCAAGGCCAUUGCAUAAUAACCUGUUAUUCAAAAUGAAUUUCUUGUAAGCUUUUGCCGUGUGAAAGAGGUUGAACCAGCAAUGCGGGCGGUGUCCAGAGCCAGAGCUGCCGGGACAUCUGAUUUAUUUCCCUUGGACAGUUUGUCAGUCUUCUCACUCUUGUUUAAUAAUAGGAAUUUUAGAAGCAUGCACACACACUUUUGUAUUUACUGAGCAGAUCAACCCAACCAUUUUCCAGAUAAAACUAAUACUUUUGCUAGACUUUUGCAUUUGUUUUUAUUAACAGUAUGGGUCUGUAACCACAGUGCUGCAGCAAAGAGUUUUCCUUUCAGGUAGUGACUUAAACAACAACAGACUUAAUGCAUUUUUCCAAAGAAAUGUAAAAUAACAAGAAGGAUUUCAGUGCUAAGUGGCGCUUUGGGCUUUCUUUCAGAUUUCAGGAACAGCUCUGUCAGUCAGGAGUAAAUCUAGUAAAGCCAAUGGAAUUAGUUUGGUCUAAAUAAGAUUAUAAUUGGGUCUUUUUGUUUCUGCAUUGCUCAAAAAUAAAUCCUAGUGAAUAACUUGGGGCCAAGUCUCCUCCUAACUAUGCUGAAGUUGUGGGAAAUUGCUCCAAAUUCACACUGGAUGAGAGUCUACAGUGAAAAAAUUGUUGACCAACUGUUUCCUAGGUAGUUCUUCUAGUACUUGACUUGUAAUUAAUAGCUGUUUCUUACUAAAAAUACUGUUUUAUUGGCUUCUUUUGAGUUUCUCAAUUUUGCUGCAGACAUUUCUUCCACUGAACUUUGGCAAAGUGGGAGGUUUCACAGGCUGAGCACAGCUAACUCGGCUCAUGUUCAAGGCGGGGGGGAUGUGAGUUGGCAUCAGACUGGGUGCCACCACGUGUCACCUAGUGUCAGCAUUACUGAUAUAACGCAGUGCCUGUGGUGUAGUGGCUUUUGGCUUAGAAUGGACUAACGUCUGCCUGACUCCAAAAGAAGGCAGGGCAAGGUCACAUCUCCCUGCAAAACGGUGUAGGCGUUUCCAGAGUCACGUUCUCCAUUUAUGUUUAUGGUGGAUCCAAGCUAGAAAACUACAUUUUGAGCUAGACAUAACGUUCUCCAGAGUUCAACAAUGCAGUGAAGUGCAUCAUUAUUGGUUUGGAAGAAAUGGAUUUGUGGGAAUGGUUCAUCUACCAUAUGAAGGUAGGUCUUAAUUUAUUUCGGUUUUCUGUGGUACUUGAAUUGAUCAGUUACCAGCUCUGUGCUUAAAGAAUGAAAUAAUAGCUACAGCGAUGAACAAGUUACUGGUUAUUGGAGCAGCAGCGAAGUGCCUGUGUGUCUAAAGCUGGCAUGCCAAGUUUGUCUACCAAGGAAGGGAUGAAAAUAGGAAACUGGUUUCGAUUCUUGUUUUCCUGAGGAAUGUCUGUGUAUUUUGCUCCGAGGAAGGCAGGUAGCAGACAGACCUUUUGCCUUGUUUUUAGUAGGCGUUCUAAUUUGCUCUCACCUGAUACAGUUUUAAACUUGCCUAAAGGUGUUUCCUGGGAUAUAAAAGGGCUGCAAAUUUGCCUCCUAGCACUGGCUUUCUGUAGAAGCUUGAACAGCAGCUUUUUUGCUCUUGUGAGACAAGGCUUUGUGAGACAUGUGAGUCCCUGCAGGACUUGUGGGUGUUUGUCCAACGUGAAAUGAUGGUUUCUCAUCCGGUGCCUUUGCUCAACUAUCACUGGUGCAACCUGCCUCCACGGAACAAGCCCGGCAGAAACUUUUCUUAAAAGAUUGAGGGAAAAAGUUGGUCUCUGGCAAUAAAAUGCUGUUUUUAUUUUAGGCAUCUCGGUGUACGAGUGAGGAAAGGAAUCUGAUUAGCACAUUUGCCAGAGAAAUGAACCAAUGGGGAGGUGAAAAUAUUAAUAAAAGAUAGAGUUGAUUUAUACUCAAACUGGCCUUUAAAUUUGCAGUAUAUGCUGUAAGAACAUGCUUAUAUAACCUCUAUUUCUAUUCAUAAAAGUUUAUGUGGGUCUAUAUGGAAUUAUGCAUUUAAAAUUAAUCCACUGAGGCAGCCCACUGAGAUGCCACUUCUCAUUUAGUAACUGCAUUAAGGACUUUGUGCUUCAUUUAGAAACUGUUAGAAGCUUGCUUUGUUCUGUGGAGGGGAACUGGGCUGCCAGAUCCAGACUGGCUGUUAUAAGGGUUAAAACAACCAUCUCUGUGUCUCUCUCUGUGAGUUACCAGUAAAACUCUAUCCUUGACUUGUGUGACCUGACUCAUGCAGCUUGGCUGAACCUGACAAACGCUACUGACUUGCGUCAGAUUCUUAGAAGGGAUUAAUGAAGAUGUUUUUCUGAGGUUAGGAACAGCUGAUUCUGACUUUGCAAGGCUGUGAGGACCCAAAAUGAACAGACACACACAUUAGGUUUUAUACCACUAGCUGUAAUUCAAGUUUAUUCAGUGUCUUGUUUGUGUAGUUUUCCAGUUCCUCAGACACUGCAAAAAGGUUAAAAGCUCUUCUAGAUGUUUAUGUGGAUUUCAUCUAAGAAAUCUUAGGCUCUUUGCUCUUUUUAUUUGCAUCCUCCAAGGUGUAAUUCUGCUUUUAAAAUGGCUGCAAAAUGGUAUUGUGAGGCUCUGUGUUGAAUCUGAAUUAAACUUCUUUAGCUUAAAAAUAAAAGCACACCAGUUCUGCAUAUUCACACUGUGAUGUAAAAUACAGAUUGAGAUGUCUAGAUGGCCUAUCUCCCUCAUCACCAAAAAUUACUUGUUUUAGGAAUGGCUGCCAUUACCGACUCUGGGCAAACCUAUUGUCUUCCUAUUUUGCUUUUGGUUGUUAUUGUUUUUAUUAUUAAGGUAGUGCUUUGUGACUGUUUAAAAAAAAUUACUAAAUACCUCGCAAGCCUUUCAGUUUGUAUUUCUCACUCUGGGAACUGUGGUCAUACCGCCAAAGUGUUUGUCUCCUGAAUAUUUAAGAAGUUAAUUUUGUGAAUGCUGAAGCUGCAGAAGUUUGCUCUCGUACAGAGUUGUGUGCUUUCUCUUUCAUAUUUCCCACCGCAUCUGUCGCCCCCAUCCUUUGUCCCUUGUGCCAUCCGCUCCACAUUGUAGCUCAUCUGGAACCACUUGGGAGCUCACCACUUCCUCAGUGUGUGUGUGACUGGUUGGCAGUUUCAAAUUGGAAAGGGGGUGCUAGAAAU